GGCCUCCCUAGUAUUUGCGAUUACUUUUAUAGCAAGAGGCAAAGAGAGAGAUGAUAUAAAAUCAUUUGAUAAAAUCUAGUACGUAUGAUUUAGCCAGAUAUCACCGGAGGGGUGAGAGCUCCCCAACCGAAAUAUUUCCCAGUGGUGGCCGUCACAGUCCCCUUUCAUUUAAGCAGGGCAGUGACGCAGUGUCGAGCUCGAGCCUAGAUAGCCUAAGUCCUCCUUUUGGUCGCUGAGCCUUGUCCCAAAGCCCAACUAACCAAGCAUCUAGCGGAAGAGGUUGAGGCUCAUCCUGACCAGAGGUUCUCCAGAGCCGCCACUAUCCCCAAUGGGGGAGCGAUCGCCGCUGCAAGGCCAUCUAGAGCGGUGUUGAGUACCAGCUUGCCGUGGUGACUGAGCAGUGCCGCCUACCAGCCACGGUUUAUAAAACCAUUUCACCCGUGAAACCCGGUAUUUAGACCGUCGGUAAACCGGUGGAAACCGGUAAAAACCGACCGGUUUGACCAAUUCCAAUCAAUUUGAAUUCGAACCAGUUUACCGACGAAAAAACGGUGAAAAACCGCCGGCAAACCACGAAACCGGCCGAUUUUUGCUGUUUUUAUAGAAAAAUGGAAAAUUUUGACAAGGUUUAUUUGUAGUUUGCUCAAUUCACAUUGCACAAUAAAUAUUAAUUGAUCCACAUGAUAUGUGUUCAUCAAAAUAACAUACAUAUGCAACCACAAACUCUAGUUCUCAUGCAAAAAACAACCAGCGAAUUUCACAAUACUCAAAUACAAGUUCUUUUACAACUCUCCAACGAGGCAACGAGACAUAGGUUGAUUUAUUUCACAAUACUCAUAUGUUCAGCUCGAAUCAUAGUGAUAGUACUCAGGCAUAUUGAAAGGGUCGGAUAUUGUUCCAAUCUGUCAUAGUGAUAGUAAUAGGUCUAUGCAAAAGAUAUGAGAUACAUUAGCGAGAAAAUAAGAACGAUAAAUAAAUACUUAUCCACAAAGCAAAAAAACAUACCGGUAUGUGUGUUUGAUGUUUGUGUAUUUUAGGUGUACCUCACCAAGUGUUGGACUUUUCUCCUGAUAAGCAAAUCUUAGGAACACAUACAGAAGAACUGGAGCUAAGAGUUCUAGAUUGGGUCUUGUCCAGACGGAUAGUUAUUAGAAGAACUGAAGCUACUUGAUCUACGGAUUCUAUCUUGGAUAGGAAAUGAAACCGAAAUUGACCACUAAAUGCCUAAACUGGAUCUGAGCUACGAGUUUCAUCUUUAUAUAUAGCAUAUAACAUCUUCACAUAUAGCAUAUAACUGUAAACAAGACUAAUAUGUCUAAAUUGACCAUUAAAUACUCAAUCUUGGCAUUAAAACCGGUUUCUCAGAAAAAAUUGACGGAUUACCGGUCUAAAAUAACGAUUUACCUGUCAACAAACGGUUUACAAGUGGUUUUCAGUUUUAUUGUUUUUUUUUCAAUUUUUUUACAUUUAAAACGAAUUUUGAAAAAAAUCAGUGGUUAACCGAAAAUGCACCCCGACAGUUUCGGUAAACCGACCGGUUUACCUCCGGUUUUCAUUGGUUCUGUAAACCAUGCUGCCAGCCAGCCAAAUGUUCGUCCAACCUAGAGAUCAAUCGGAUAAAAGCAGAGACAUUCAAUUUGACGUUGGAUUGGAUAUAUGUGGAAAAGUGGCUUGUUAGCACUACAGGGUGCGCACGAUGUUUUCUCUGUUGAACCGCGACAUGCACGAGAGUAUGGGUACGAGUACGAGUAUAGGUGCCCAAAUGGGGCUCGCCACGACCCGUCACAAGCACGUUAGAACCAACAACAAAUUGGGCUAGUGGCCAUCAGAACCCGACUUGGAUCAUUAUAAAUACUGAAUAAAUAAAAAUUGCAGAUAUAGAUAUACUACCUUUUGUAAAAUAAAAAAAUAUUUAUGCUAGAAACGCACAACGUGGAGAGCGUCACCAUGCUUUUCGCCUUGGCCGACAGGUGCGCCAGGGCUGCUGAGGGCCGAGCGUGGCACUAAGUUCUAAAGGACGGGGCCGCCCAAACGGGUGGCUUAGGAGCCGCUGCCCGGCGUAACGGUAAAAGGAGCCCUAGCUCGCAGCUGUAGCAUCCCAAAAAUUCAAAUCUUAAAAUUUUCUCAAACUCGCUCUAAAUUCAAAAUGAAUUUCAAAUUUCAUUUCAAAAUGUUUAUUUGCGAGUUGAUAUCAACAAAUAAAAUAUAGUGGUCUUUAUUUUCUCCAAAAUCCUCCUCAAAAUAUCCUACAAAUAUUUCCCGAGUAAUCCCCUUUAAGUUCUUUCCAGAAAUACUGCCCAGAUAUUUCCCCAAUGAUCCCCUCAAUUUCUUUCCAGAAAUAUUGCCCAAAUAUUCCACCGAUAUAUCUCCAAGUAUUUUCCUCUUGAGAAAUACCUUUAGAAUCAUUUUUCAAGUCCCUACAAAUAUUUUCUUCAUAACUUUCCUCAUGCUCAUACGUAUACGUACGCCUCCGGUGUCAUACGGUGAGCUCUACAAGCUAAUUACACUUAUACAAGACAAAUACAUGCUAAUCUCCCACUAAUCCUCUCAUCCUCCCACUAAUGCUCUCAUCCCUCCCCCUAAUCCCCCCACCAUGGCUAUAAAUAGAGGGGCAAGGGCCUCCUCUCAUCCCACUCCAAGCCAUUUCAUGGCAACUCUCUCCUCCCACACACACCCACUCCAUGUUCCACACAAGCACACACUAACACAAGGAUCGUCCGAUCGUUCUUCAAUCGUUCGUCCCCUGUUAUUAGUUUGUUCGUUCGUUCAUCCGAUCGUUCGAUCGUUCGUCCGAUCGUUCAUGGUUCGUUCGUCCGUUCGUCCGAUCGUUCGAUCGUUCGUCCGUUCGUUCGUCCAAAUAAUCUUUUUCCUACCGUUAUGCUACCGAAAUUCCGAUCGUUCGUUCGUUCGAUCAUUCGAUUGUUCAUCGUUCGUUCAUAGUUCCUAUUCAUCGUUCGUUCAUAGUCCCUAUUCAUCGUUCUUCCAGAUAAUCUUUGUCCUGCCGUUAUGCUGCCGAAAUUCCGAUCGUUCGUUCGUCCGAUCAUUCGAUCGUUCGUCCGUUCGUUCAUCCAAAUAAUCUUUUUCCUGUCGUUAUGCUGUCGAAAUUCCGAUCGUUCGUUCGUUCGAUCAUUCGAUCGUUCAUCGUUCGUUCAUAGUCCCUAUUCAUCGUUCUUCCAGAUAAUCUUUGUCCUGCCGUUAUGCUGCCGAAAUUCCGAUCGUUCGUUCGUCCGAUCAUUCGAUCGUUCGUUUGUUCGUUCAUAGUUCCUAUUCAUCGUUCAUCGUUCGUUCAUAGUUCCUAUUCAUCGUUCAUCGUUCGUUCAUACGAACUAUUCACCAUCACUAUUCACCAUUACUAUUCACUGACACUAUUCACCAUCGUUACUAUUCAGUGUUACUAUUCAUCAUCGUUAAUACUCAUCGAUGAUAUCUAUGUAACUUUUUUUGUCGUCACUAUUCAUCGUUACUAUUCAUCGAUUAGCCGAUCACCCCAAAUUUCAACUACUCAUACAUCAUGUUGUCCAGUCCACCUAAGACCAGCCAGACCCAUAUUCCAGUCAUACGAACUCCGGUGACUGUGAUUUUCCUUCUAGUGGGAACUUCCCAUCUGGUCACCCAUCCUAGGUUUCUCCAAGUUGAGCAUGCUUAACUUUGAGAUUCCUUCGAACCAGGCUUCCAAACUCCGAUUCCAAUAAUUCUUGUUUCUAAAUUCUUAUCGAAUUAUUUCCUAUCCAACCAUGUAAUCCCUUAAGCAUGGUUCAUAUUCUAGAAAACUCCCAAAAUACUCUUGUCCCAUAUUCUGCCUAUAACUCUCCUGUUCAUACUAAGUCAGACGAUUCAUUCGUCACUAUUCUCACCAACAGUGAACUUCACUGUGCUACACCACAUACACCUAGCUAUAAAUACACCCAGCUACCCUCUCCCUCUCCACACACUCAACACCCUCAACCAAGGCAAACACCCCACCCACUUAGUUACUCUGCUCUGCCGGCUACACGCAUAGUGUCGCUUCGCCUCCAGUCCACCCUCCUGGUAAGCACCUCCGCUCCACCACUAGUAGUAUCUCAACACCACAUGACAUAGAUUCUACUCAAGACUCUACCCAUCCAUAUAUCGCUAUUCUGACCACUAUACUAAAUAUUUGUUGGUAUACUUGCUUGUUUGUAUGUUUGCUUGUUCAUGUUGCAUAGUUAUCGGAGCGUUCGUGCCGUCUCGUGGAGGCCAGAUCUGCAAGUCUACGCCAGGCAAUGGAGCUAGAAGCCAGUUCCGCGAGCUCUCCUUCCCCCUUCGCCGAAUAAGCACGACAAGCUCACUGGAUCCCUUUGAUGCAUAAAUUACCUAUGUUUUUCAACCACAACCCUCAGCCUGUUAUUUUAUGCAUGAUAUGAUUUUGAGACAAGUUAUUAUGGCCACCCAGCCGCUUGCCGCAAUCAAUCCCUGAUAUAUUCGUUACAAAUGAUUUGAGGAAAGAUGUGAGUUUCCAAAAGAAAAUGCUUUUCAAAAUUUGUAUGAUGAAGGUUUUCACCCUUAUCACCUUGUGAGUGGGAUAAUCAGGGACUCCCUGGUUUAGGGGAGGGCCUAAGGUGAUGGCUCAGCUAGUUUAGGCGUGAGCAGAAGGAUUGUCCCCUCUUAUAAGGACCGGUUUGUCAUCUUUCACUGCCUGUACUCCUUAAUACUACAACCACUCGAGACUGUGUGGGCAGUCACUCAAUCUGAACUCGUACGGUCCAACCCCAGGGUUAUGAAGGCUGGGGAGCACCGGGAGGAUAAGGAGGGGGAAUGUUUUGUCCGGUUUGGACAUGGCGGUGGCCUGACUCCUUCCGGUAUAACCAUUAAGGUUAGGACGUGCAAGGAAAGAAAGAGAUUCGGAUUCGGGUCUCACUAGCUAUGAGAUCGCAGAGCCGGACUAGUGGGUAAAGUGUACACCUCUGCGUAGAGUUUGAAAACCUAUUCGAAUAGUCUGUGUCCACAGGAAUGGACGAGUCUGGUGUGGUAUGGCAAUUAGUGUUUUUGUUUUAAAAAAAAGAGGUGCUUUUGAGAAAAGUGGUUUUUAAAAGGUCCGGCGGUUGAGCCGUGAGCUAUGGUGGACGGGAAGUCUGGUAGCUGUUUUUGAAAAUGAAAACCAGUGGGAAACUGCUGAGGUACCUGGAUGGUUUAGUCCAGAGGAUUUUGUUCUAAUAUUGAAAAACUUCCUACUCCUUUUGGAGAGGUUGCGCUUUGCAAAAAUACAAAAUGUUUUUCAAAACAACCCUGCAUAAAAUAUUGUUGUUUCUGCAAAAUAUCCUGAGCUCCGCAUAUUCCAUGCAUUAUAUCUGAUUUCCCCAUACCGUGGGUGAAGGUGGGCUGCUAAGUACGUUUGUACUCACCCUUGCUUAUUUGUUGUUUUUCAGAAAAAGGAGAUCGGGUAAGAGUUACGACUGUUCCCAACCUUGCCUGUGGCUGUUGGACCGCUGAUUUGCUUCGCUGCGUAUAUAGGGCUGCUUCAGCCCCACUCCGAUGAUAUGUCCCGAGUUGUGGACCAACUCUUAAAGUUGUUCGCCACCUUUGUAGGUUUGUCUCGUUUAAGCAGAUUUGGUAUCAUCUGAUGUAUAAAUGUGUUUACUAGCCUCCUGGGACUAGUAAUUGUAUCACAUUUGAGUCCCAGAGGAUUGGGGACGCUUCAGCAGCAUACCUCAUUAUUCACGUGAGGAAGAUGGAGAAGGGCUUCGACGCCUUGAAACUGCAACAUAUUCCUCGCGGCAACUCGGCAACAGGUGAACUCCCCGCGAGGGCAUCUGUCACACCCAGUUUUAGAAGGCAAACCGAAUGCGAACCAUGUGUGUGCCAGGAUCAGAAACUCACAUACACAACGAUUACAUAAUUGGACAUCAUCACAUAUUGUUCAAAAUAAAUAGCGGAAAGGUACUUUAUUACAUCAAGAUGUCUAAGACAUCUACAGAGUCAUUAACAUAACAUUGUCGUUACUAACAUCAUGGUACAGAAAAGCUAACGUAGCAGAUAAGGCCUUCACAGGUAGCUGAAUGGGGUUUUGCCACUAAUAUAACUAGAACUUGUCGUAGUCCUAGAACUCCUCAAUGUCCUCCAUGUUGCCUACAUCUCCUCUUGAGCACUAAAUACAGUAGGGACAACCUGGGGUGGGGUGAUGUUUAAAACAAGGGUGAGUACACAUCAACAUACUCAGCAAAUGUCCCGUUUGGCUAAAGUGAAUUGUCUGUAUGUGGAGUUAAGGUUAAGCAGUUGCUUUUAGUUGGUCAAGUAUUUAUUACUAAUAGUAGAGCCAAAUUUUAGUAAUAAACCCAGUUAUUACCCAAAUGUACUCCCUCCAAGAGAAAAUACCAGAGAUCAUAAUAUAACCAUCAUCAUUAACCAUCAUCAUAAAAAUAUCCAAAGUUCUUCUAAUCAAAGAGGAUCCCAAGGCUGCUCUUAAUCGUGAGCCCGGCUAAUAUACCAGUUUCUAACACUCUACAGAGGUUGCACACUUUACCCACGAGUCAUGAUCCCCUUUCUGCUCGGAGAGUGCUACUCCCCAUUGACCACUACCUAGGUGGCCUGGCAGGGUAUCACUACGUAGCCUUUACAAAGACUCCCCUAGUGCAUAGUUGCUCGUUAGGUUUCACCAGUCGUACAAACACAGUACACCUCCCUAAGGUGGGUGACUAACAAAACCAAAUCGAAUGAACCUCGGCACCCACCCUUAUCAGAGCGAGCACUAUGCCCUGGCCCCCAUUGACGGCCCUCCAGCAAAGCCAACUACACCCCCAGGUUCAUCUAAUUAUUUAGCUAAGGGCGUCUCAUUCCACCCUCAUAGUUGCACUGUUAUCCCGGGUGGUCACUCAACGAACAGGUCCUUACAGAGAGGUACUUAGGAAAUAGCCUGAGUCCCCUAAAGUAUCACAAGAUCAUCAUUGAGAUAACAACAUUGUAUCAUAAAUAUUUACAUCAUGUUCAUUGAUUAAGUUAAAGCAAUAGCAUAAAGCUAACCAUAGUAACCCAAAAAAGGUAACAAGGAUAAAGUAAAUACAGACUAGUCAGUCCUUAGGUUUCAAUAAUGUAAUGUAAGAUGGUAGUAAGUAGGACAUAGUAGGUCAGAUGACACUUGCCUUCACCAGGUUGUUGCUCAUGAAGGUCUUCGACAACACACUCAGGAACCACGGGUUGCUCGUCAUCUAAAUAAAGCGAUCAUGCAUUCAAUACAUUUGGAUAAAGACAAAUGAACAACACACCAAUCAUGUACAAACAAGUGAACACAUCUCAAAAGAAUAGUAUAAACUCAAGAGGUAGUUUAGGUUAUAGGGUGAACUAACACAUUUAGUAGUUUAUUAUUCUCUAAGUGUUGUCUAUCUCCAUGGACUACAUAAUUAGAUUUCACUAAUUUAACAAGACACAAAAUUACACCAGUGGUAGAUUCAUACUUUACAUAUUAUUAGUAUCAAAAGGUUAAACAUCUAAUUACCAUUAGGGUUUCCUUUUUAUUUAUCUUAUUAAGUAAAUAAACUAUUACAUAAACUAACCUAUAGCCUAGGCAUAAAAUUAGGAUGCACAGAAAGUGAAUGAUCAUACUUUAUUUGGACAGAGAAUAAUUCCAUGAACAUUUUGCAAUUCGAAUCACUCAAUUUGGAGUUCAUAUGCAAAAGAUAUGAAAUAAACAAGUUUUGAAGUUUAAAAUACAAAAUUAGGUCCAAUUAUGACGGGCUGGACGACCGGCACGACGGGCGUGGAACUUCGGCAAGGGCAGAGCGCGAGAGAGGGUGAGCUUGCGUGAAAUGAGGCAGUGGAGAGAGAGAGAGGGAGCGAGCGGUGCUCAAAAAGGAGCUGGGGCGCGUGGGCAGGCGACGUGGCCAGGGUUCUCGACGUGCGUGUGCGAUGGUCCACGGCGGUUCUUGGGGAAAGUGGAGCUGAUAGGACGGUCCCACGUCACAAAGAGAGGGAGCAAGCGCGCUGGGGAAACGACUCAUUGCGCUGACAAGGCGGACCCGCGAGGCAGGGAGGGAAUGGGGGCGCGCAGGCGAAUGGCACCGAUAAACUGGCCCCACUAGGCAGAGGGAGGGGGGAAGAGAGAGCACGGGGAAGGAAACCGCCGCUGACAGGUGGAGCCCACCUGUCAGGCGGCGAGGGCGCGCGCGGCCUCGCUGGGCCGGACUGGGCCGGUUGGGCUGAAAUCGUUUUUCCUUUUUCUCUGGAAUUUCUGAUGCCUUUUAUUUUUAUUUUCCCUAUGGUUUUCAAAUCAAAUUCAAACACCAAACCAAAUUCAAAUAAUUUCAAACAUGUGCACCAAACAAAAGAAUAAUUUAGGCUCAACAUGAUGCAACAAUUCAUGACUCACGUAAUUUUGACAAAAUAAAUAAUUAAUCCCUCACUUAAUUAACCUAAUUCUACUCAAAAGGAAAAGAGAGAGAGAGACUAGAUAGAGAGAGAGAGACAAAGGGUAACACCUAAAUUUGGUAGGCAUUUAGAGAAUAAAUUUUAUACCCCUAAAUUCUGGGUGUUACAGCAUCUACUUGGGCAUCCGUGCCUGAGGUCGUCUUCGAAAGACGGCUACUGAGACCUACCGCUCAACCCGCCAAACUGGGUGAAGGGGCUGAGACUAGAACAUCAAAGCUAGCAGUCCCAACGGCGUUCCAUCCAUGGAGCCCGUUAAAGAUUGGGUGUGCUACUAGCUAGGUCCCCGGUGACCUCUUAGCACCACAUCCAAUUGCUCAGGGGGGUCCCAAUGCAUGGAUCUCAGAGAUCCGACACCACCUGAAAGACAACAUUGAAAGUUACCUAGAGGAGGGGUGAAUAUGCGAAAUCUGGACAUUAUAAACUUUAAACACAAACUUCACCUGGAGUUAGCGUUAGAACAGGUAAUAAUGAAAUCAGAGUGUGGAAAAUGGUUCUCCUUGCCACGAAUUGCUCGAUUAAUGUGUGGAUUUACUUUAGGAGCAACUGAAAAGGACAAGCAAGAGAAUUUUAGAGAGAGGGGAGAAGAAGAAUCAAAUCACAAGGUAAUGGUCAACAUAAAUGAACACGACAAUUUGUUUCCUGAGGUUCGGUUCCGAAGAACCUACUCCCCGUUAAGAAUGCCUUGUAGGUCGGGUCUCUUUCAACCCUUUCCCUCUCUCAAAUGACCACUCAGACCGGUUGAGUGCUUCUUCUUAAUCUCGAGGAUCACUUAGACCCCGCAAGGAUAACCACACAAUUAGGUGUCUCUUGCUAGCUUUACACUUGAGAGCUUUGAAGGAUAUGAAGAAAGCACAAUCAAGAAAACCAAGCAACAAGAGCAACAAGAAAAACACAAAAUUACACUCUCUCUAGACUUUCCAACGCACUAAUCACUAAUGACCACUAGUCACAAUUAUGACACUUGGAAGAGUUUGGGAGCAUUAAAUGUGUCUUGGGAUGAAAUGCUUGCUCUUGUAUUGAAUGAGAAUGAAUGGAAUGCUUGGAUGUGUUGAAGGAGGUGGUUGGGGUUGUAUUUAUAGCCACCAACCACUUCCUAGUUGUUGUCCAGUUUCUGCCAACCAUGGACGGUCUGCGCACCUAACACGGACGGUCUGCCCCUACAUAUCAACGGCUUAAAUCGCAACAGUUAGUAGUAACAUCUAUAAGUGCAUUAAAUGUGUCGUUAGAUGUCAGAUAAAUAAGUCAUAGACGGUUCGAUCGUGCAACCCCGGAUGGUCCGUGAGGACGCUAUAAUUCCUUUUUACCGAGCUUCGCACCUUCGGGUUUCUUUGGUUUGCAAUGAGUGGACGGUCCGGGCCUGAGACCGGACGAUCCGCACAUGGUGCCGGACGGUAUCCACUUAUCUGUCAUAACCACUCCCAGAAUGGGUUCAGGGGCCAAUGUCGGUACCCUGAAACUGGGGUACCCUCUCCUACUGUGCCAAAGGUAGAUACACGUGUGGUUACUUUUAACCGCGUGAAAGUCUCCUAGAGGGGGUGAAUAGGCGAAACCUAAAAUUUAUAAAGUUAAACUUGCACUAAGGUCGGGGUUAGCGUUAGAAUUAAAUUCAAGUGAGGAAGAUUGUUUCUCUUGCUAAGAGUUGCUCAAUAGAUGCGAAUGACGAUUGGGAGCAAACACAAAUCAAUAUUAGCAAGGAAACUUUAGAGAGAGGAAAGAGGGAAAACAAAUCAAAUGGAAAUCAACACAAGUGAACGCGGUGAUUUGUUUUACCGAGGUUCGGUUUCAAAGAACCUAGUCCCCGUUGAGAAGGCCACAAAGGCUAGGUCUAUUCCAACCUUUUCCCUCUCUCAAACUGUCACUUAGACCCGAUGAGUCUUCUCCUUAAUCAAUCGGGUCACUAAGACCCCUUAAGGACCACUACACACUUAGGUGUCUCUUGCUAGCUUUGCAAAGCAAUUAGAGAAUAAGAAUGGGAAAAGAGAAGGCAAUCCAAGCGACAAGAGAACACAAAUAAUCCUCUCACAAGUCUAUAUGCACUAGAGUUGAUUUUGGGAGCUUGGAGUGGAUUGAAUGCUUUGAAUGUGUAUUGGAGUGUUUGGCUUAGCUCUUGCAAUGAAAAUGGAGUUCAAAAAACUUGGAUACCAAUGAAUGAGGUGCAGUAGUGGAGGGCAAAGAAAAAAUGUGGUAUGGCUGAAAAAAUGAAAUCUACAAGAAUUGUGAAUCGAACUCAAGCCCUGCUGCUAAAAUCGAGGCAACACAUCCACCACAACGCGUCUUGUUUUGUGUUUAUAGUGGAAGAUAUAAGAGUUUUUAAAAGUAAGGUAUGGUUGAUGCCACACUAAGCCAUAAUGGCUCCUCUGCCAUUGAUGAGGUGGUUGGGGCAUUUAUAGCCUCCAACCACUUCCUAGCUGUUGGCUGUUUUUGCUGGCGAUGGUCACACCAGACAGUCCGGUGGUGCACCAGACAUCUACUAUUCACUGUCCGGUGUGUGCCACGUCAGCAUACCCAUCGGGGUUUGGAGCGAGUUGACCGUUGGAACCCUUGUCCUAUAGCUGCACAGGACAAUCCGGUGCAACACCGGACAUGUCCGGUGACCUCUGGCUUUGCUGCUCUGACUCUGUCGUGCACUGUUCACUUCAUUGUUUGCUUUUGCAGGCGACCAUUGCGCGUAGUGACCAUUGCGCCGCUGGCUCACCGGACAUGUCUAGUGCACACCAAACAGUCCCUUGAAUUAUAGCGGAGCGCACCCAGAGAAUUCCUGAGAGUGGCUGGUUUGCUUUGCGUGCGAGCCUGGUGCACCGGACACUGUCUGGUGCGCCAAUGGCAGCACACUCUCAAGUCCUUUGCCCCAAAUUUGUUUGUGUCCCCAACUGAAUUUCUUUCUUGGUUUGUGUUGAACCUUAUGCACCUGAGAUAAAUGACAUCUAGGCAAACUAGUUAUCCACGUGGUUUGUGAUGGACAUCAACCACCAAAAUCGAUUACGGGGCGUUUGGAUCCCUUCAUUUUAGAGGAAUUGGAAUUCACUCAAUAAAGUAACUUAUUUAGUUUGGAAUUUGACAUUCCACCACUUUCUAGAGUUUAGAUAUAAGCCUAUCUCAAAUUCAUGGGGUGGAGGGUGGGAAAUGAUUUUAUGCAUUACUAGAAUUGGUUUCUAAUCUAUAACUUACAUGACAUUCUUCGUUUCACUCACCUAUAGUAAAAAUGUAGCACAUAAAUAUCUCCGACAUCUUGCUAAUAAUAGUAUACAAAUAUAUUUUGCAUAAAACUGAAUUAGCUUAAUUAAUAUAUGCCUAAAUUACUAUUAUUAGAAUGGAAUUCAAUUCCAGUGAUCCAAACGGGGCGUUAUAGGAAAUGAUUAAGUCCAUUUCCCUUUCACCGCGUACUAAGGAACCGAGCAGCCGGACCCAUGGGACCAUACCCAUAUGAUGAGACCAUUGGCCUCGAGACCCGCUCCCCACUCAGGAAUAGGUCCGGUGCUUCUACAUUGGCUAAUUAACUAGGAAAGCUAGUGGAUGACUACCUUACCCGAUAGGGGCAAGGGCAGUAGGGGAGUGGUCAGUGUAGGGAGGUCCUUGGGUUGAUUUUGCUGCGACGGCGGUCAGGUGAGGGAUCCCUGCACUGGAGCUUCCUAUAAACUGUAGCGGGUUUUCUGAAGCUAGUGGAACUUUGUAAAGGCCUCGUAGUGUUACCCUGCCUCGCCUCCUCAGUAGAGGUGUAUGGGAUUGGUCGUCUUUUGGUAUAUGGGUAACAUGACUUGUGGGUAAAGAUGCGCAACCUCUGUAGAGUGUAAAACUGGUAUACUAGCCGUGCUCACGGUCAUGAGCAGCUCGGACCCUCACAUGAUUAAUCUAUGGAAUUAAAACUCAAUUUGUCAUUUGCAUCACUUUGGGAUUAUUUUAUUAUUACUUUUAUUUAUUAUUACUAUGGUUUGGUAUUUACUUACACUUAGUAAUUGCUAAUAAAAUUUUGGCCAACUUAUAAAAAGCAAUGCUCAGCUUCAACCUUUAUUUUGUUGAUCAGUCUUACACUUCACAUGAACUCCCACCUUUAGUGAGUUCAUGCACAUUAUUCCCCACAACUUGUUGAGCGUAGUGACCAUUGAGCAUUGAUAUAAGAAUGAAUAACUUUCUCAAUGGUUUAUUUUUUCUUUUAUUUAUCUGAAUAUUCAUUCCAUUUAGACCAUUCGCAAGCAAGCACGAAAAAGCUUCUAUUUCUAAACGGAAACGCUCAAUACAUCGAAACUCAUUACCCAUGGGCAAAGCCAGUCGAGAAAAAAGAAAACAAACAUGGUUUAGCGGAUUCGGAAUUGUAACCAAGCAUCCUGGGUAAUGAGUAGUGAUUGUUUGCGUGCACUGUUCACUUCAUUGUUUGCUUUUGCAGGCAACCUUUGCACGUAGUGAUCAUUGCUCUGCUGGCUCACCGGACAUGUCCGAUGCACACCGGACAGUCCCGUGAAUUAUAGCGGAGCGCGCCUAGAGAAUUCCCGAGAGUGGCUGGUUUGCUUGUGCGCGGGUCUGGUGCACCGGACACUGUCCAGUGCGCCAAAGGCAGCACACUCUCAAGUCCUUUGCUCCAAAUUUGUUUGUGUCCCCAACUGAAUUUCUUUCAUGGUUUGUGUUGAACCUUAUGCACCUGAGAUAAAUGACAUCUAGCCAAACUAGUUAGUCCACGUGGUUUGUGAUGGACGUCAACCACCAAAAUCGAUUAUAGGAAAUGAUUAAGUCCAUUUCCCUUUCACCGCGUACUAAGGAACCGAGCAGCCGGACCCAUGGGUCCAUACCCAUAUGACGGGACCAUUGGCCUUGAGACCCGCUCCCCACUCAGGAAUAGGUCCGGUGCUGCUACGUGUCCUAGGGGUGGAAUUGUCCACUGACUACUACUAUAAGUCUGGACCCCCCAGGUGGUUCCUAAGCCUCCACGUAUGAUGUCUAGACCCCCGCAAGCGGGUCCCAGACCGCCACAUGUGCCAUCUGGACUCCUAGCACGGGGCCCUAGGUCUUCAAGCUAGCAUGUGCUCUUGGCCCCCACUCUCCGCUCAGGAAGAGGUCCGAAACUGCCAUGUGGCUCGGCGCGUGACACAAGCCUUCGGUUGAAAGCAAGCUUGCCUGCCUGCAUUUAAUGCAAGCGGCUAAGGCGUGCUUUACUGUGCAUAGAGCAUGGGUAGGCUUUUGUCAGGCUGCACAGGACCGAAUGACUGUUUCACAUGUUACCAAAGCAAAUAGUGUUGUCGGCGUGCCGAGUGCUGACGGACCGCAUAGUAAGCCACGCGUUACCAAGGUAGACCUUUGUGUCUCGACACCACGCGCUUGGGUGGUGCCAUCAUGAGUAGCUGUUGCUAGGGAUGGCAAUCAAGUGGGUAGUAUGCACAUAUAUAGUUCGUGAAUCCAUACCCGCGAGACAAAACUCAACCCAUACCCGUACCCAUAAAUGUUCGUGGGUAUGAAUCUCUACCCAUACCCGUACCCACCGGGUAUCCGCUAUCCGGCGGAUACCCGUUACCCGCCCGCCCACUACGAUUUUAGCAUUCAACAUCAAACAACAAUUUUAUCACAUUUCAAAAACAAUUAUCAUUCCAUCAUCAUCAAAUGACAAUUUCAGCACCAAUCAACAUGUCAUAGAUAAAAGUUGAAAAAAAUAGAAUUUAGGAAAAUAUAUUAAAUCUAGAUGGCCCAUAUGUCAGAUAUCCAUUGGAUAACGGGUAUGGAUACUGGAUAUCCAUACCCACGAAAAAUUUAUCUGCGGAUACAUUGUUAUAUCCAUAAUUGUACCCACAGAUACCAAAUUUCACCAUACCCAUAUCCAAUGGAUAAUUAUCCACGGUUAUUUACCCAUACCCGUACCCAUUGCCAUCCCUAGCUGUUGCCUUAGACAAAGCGCGCAUAGGUCAUUCACAUUAACUCUGUCGCACAUCAGCAUGGUUAGUCCCUACAUACGUCAGCAUAUCAGACUCCACACCAUAACUGACUCGAGCCAGCAGACGGGGCGGGGGCACGUUUGGUCAAAAGAUUCGCACUUUGACAGAAGGGGAAAAUCUCCAUCUGCCAUGUCACUUAAAACUCCCAGGUGUACAUUAGUUAACACUGGUUCGCUGGACCGACCUGUCGGGGCUCAACACCUUUGUACGUGCCCCUCUAGGACUAUAAAAGGGAGCAUGGCCAGUCCCUACAUACGUUAAUAACCGACUCGAGCCAGCAGACGGGGCGAGGACACGUCUGGUCGAAAGAUCCGCACGACAACAGAAGGGGAAGAUCUCUAUCUACCACAACACUUAAGACUACACGGUGUACAUUACUUAACACUAGUUCGUUGGGCCGACCGUCGGGACUCAACACCUUUGUACAUGCUCCCUAGGACUAUAAAAGGGAGGGGACAUGUGAUGCAAAAGGACAUGUACUCUCGAACUCAGACUCAAUCAGUAGUUGUUUUUUUCACUAACAAUUACUGUGCUAAUUGAUAAUUUCUAAAGCUGAGCGAUGAAUGACUGAAAGAGCAUAAUGUUAGUAAUUACUGAACGUUCCACCAGUAAUUACCGAACGUAUCUUCACUACUGAAGUGAUAAAUUACAGAAUGUGUCAUCAAUAAUUGUUAUUUUUGCACUAACAAUUAAUGUGUUCGUUGAUAAUUAAUGAAAUUGAAUGAUGAAUGACUGAAAUAGCACAAAUUACUGAAAGAUGACGUGCCGAGUGGAGCGACGCGCGGGAGUCACGGGUGGGCACACGCAGCUUGUAGUCCGUUAGUGAAUUUUGGACCCAUAAUGAAAGUCGCCUAGAGGAGGGUGAAUAGGCGAAACCUAAAAUUUAUAAACUUAAACUUGCACUAAGGUCGGGGUUAGCGUUAGAAUUAAAUUGGAGUGCGAAAGACAGUUCUCUUUGCUUAGAGUUGCCCAAUCAAUGCGGAUGGUCUUUGGGAGCAAACUCAAAUCAAUAUGAGCAAAGGAACUUGUAGAGAGGGAAAACAAAUCAAGUGAAGAUUGACGAGUGAACAUGGUGAUUUGUUUUACCGAGGUUCGGUUCCAAAGAACCUAGUCCUCGUUGAGGAGGCCACAAAGGCCGGGUCUAUUUCAACCCUUUCCCUCUCUCAAUCGGUCACUCAGACCGGUUGAGUGCUUCUUCUUAAUCUCACGGGUCAGUAAGUCCCCGCAAGUAUCACCACACAAUUAGGUAUCUCUUGCAAACUUUACAAAACACUUAGAGAGUUUAGAGAGAGAGAUGAAGAAAGCACGAUUGCGAAAACCAAGCAACAAGAGCGACAAAUAACACACGGAUCACACUCUCUCAAGUCACUAAUGAUCACUUGUCUAAAUUGUGAAACUUUGAGAGGUUGAAAGCUUUGAGUGUGUCUUGGAGUGGACUGCUAGCUCUUGUAUUGAAUGUGAAGGAGUGGGGUGCUUGGGUUGAGUGAAUGGAGGUGGUUGGGGUUGUAUUUAUAGCCUCCAACCACUUCCUAGCCGUUGCUUCAUUCCUGCCGACCGCAGACGGUCUACGCCCCUGGUUCGGACGGUCCGCCCCUGCACAUCAACGAUUGAAAUCGCAACGGUCAGCAGUAACAACUAUAUCAACGGCUAUAGAGCAUUUAAUGCGUCAUCAGAUGUCAGAUAAAGCAGUCGCGGACGGUCCGGCCGUGCACCCCGGACGGUCCGCGAGGAUGCUAAAAAUGAAUUUUACCGAACCCAUCACCUUCGGGUUUUUCUGGUUUUUUCAACGACCUAACGGUCCGCGCCCCUAGUCCGGACGGUCCACGCCCCUAGUCCGGACGGUCCGCCCCUGCACAUCAACGACUGAAAUCGCAACGGUCGGUAGUAACGGCUAUAGAGCAUUUAAUGCGUCGUCAGAUGUCAGAUAAAGCAGUCGCGGAUGGUCCGGCCGUGCACCCCGGACGGUCCGCGAGGACGCUAAAAAUGAAUUUUACCGAACCUGUCACCUUCGGGUUUUUUCUGGUUUUUUCAACGACCGAACGGUCCGCGCCUGAGGCCGGACAGUCCGUGCUUGGUCUUGGAUGGUGCUUGCUUCUCCAUCGAACGAUACGUAGUGUUGACUUGCGUUUUUUGCAGUGUUCCUGUCCGAGGCUCACCUUGAUGUCGCGGACGGUCCGCCGCAAGGGCCCGGACGGUCCGUGCAUAGGUGUUUUUCUAAAAAGCUUCUCCUGUCCGGAAAGUCGACUUAGAAUAGUUGUAUAUGGACUUAUGCACCUGAGAAAUGAUUAACUAGGCAAACUGUUUAGUCCACAAGGUUUGUGAUGGUCGUCAAACACCAAAAUCGAUUAUAGAAAAUGUUGAGGUUAUUUCCCUUUCACAUAACAAUUUGGCGGGAUGGCUGGUUUGCUUGAUGGGACGUUUGACUAUGUCGGUACCCUGAAACUAGGGUACCCCUUGCUACUGUAUAAAGACGCAGUACCCACGCGGAUAUCUCUUAGUCGCGUAGUAAAGGUGCUGUGUGUGGGACCGAGCCAUGACUCGUCCCAGCCUCGGGCGACUACUCUGGGUCCACAAUAGCGCCUGACCUCACCACAAGGGCGGGUCCGGAGCCGCCAUGUGUCCAGAGAAAGUGAUAUACCACAAAGCCUCAACAGUGAGUCCGGACCCCCAUGGUAGAGUGCCGGACCCCUGGAUAUAAAGUCCAGACCUCCAAGGUUGGUCCAGGACCUCCACGUGUGCAAGUCGGACCACUAGAAUGGGAUCCGGACCCCUCGUAUGAGGUCCGGGCCGCCCACAAUGGGGUCCCAAGGUCCCAGGAUAGAACAUACUCAGGCCUUGAACAGGACUCAGGCGGGGGUCCGGUGCCGACACGUAUCCGGAACUAGUCUGGUGGGUUCCGGACCUGUCUGCAUACACUCCUGCCCCCCGCUCAGGUGGAGACCCAUUGCAGCCACGUGGCAUACUGCGUGCGGCUUAAGCCAACGGGCAGAACCUAGCAUGACGCCUCUGGGCUAUGCGCGCCUCCACAUUCAUUACGGAUAACACGUGCGCCUGUCCAUUCCACUGACAGGUGGCAUGCACAGUCCACGAUACGUGGGCCGUGCUAUUAUUUACCAUUACUCGUACAUUUCGGCUAUCAAUGCUGCAUGGACUAUGGUCAUCAAGACUCCUGGUGAUUGCUCAGGCAUUACUAGCAUUAAUUACUCACAUAAUGUAUUCCUUCUGUUAUGCUCCUGGGCCCGCAUGUCGGGGCUCAGCAUUCUUGUAUGUGCCUUCCCUUAGACAAUAAAAGCGAAGGCACACAACGUUACAAGGACAGGCUCUCAAGCACACAGACAUAAGCUCAUACUCAUACUCAAUAUAGCAUACACACAGUGGAGGUAAGGUAUUACGCUCCGACGGACUGAAACACUCUAAACCCUCAUGUCCUCGUGUGUUCAUCCAUCUUCCAAUAGACAGGCAAAACGCUUAAGCCCCCUCCUCAUCUUAGGAUUAGGGCGGGUGCGUUCCGCCACCCGGGCGGAGGAUUUUCUCUCCGACAUUUGGCGCGCCAGGUAGGGGCUUUGGCAUUAGGUUUUUCCCUGUUUCCUUGCUCGACACGAUGGUUCAAAUCGUCGAGCAUCGUGACUUCGUUCCCAAGGACUUUCCAAUGGAGGAAGAGGUUGCAUCUUCUAUGCCAUGGGGCUCCAACUGCCCUGCACCUGGUGCUGCUGCUGUGUGCGCUCCACAGCAGCACACGCGUGCGCAGACAUCCUGGGCUCUGUCAAGGGCUGCUCCUGGGGCGUUGUCUGCAACCAGGGAGUUGUUAUGCCACCCUCCAAGUUCCACGGCCUCGCCGGGGGCCAUGAAGCAGUGACAUGACGAUGUCGACCGUCUCCUCGGCAUGGCGCAUUCUGGCUCGGCCAGACCCAGGCCUCGGUCAUUUCGGCGUCAACAUGAGGCAUCGGCGUCAGUGCGCUCACCCUCAGUGAAGGCCGCACCGACUGAGGACCUGCGGGCAGGGCUCAACCGUAGGCGUGCGGGUGAGGAUGUUCCAAUCUCUCUAGAGAGGCCUGGUGACCUGUGGGCAGAACUCAACCAUAGGCGUGCGGGCGAGGACGCACGAGUCUCUUUGGAGAGGGCGCGUGAGCGCUGGCUAAACUUCGAGGGUCACAACCUCGACCAGGACUUCGCUCCGCUUGCGCCAUAAACUCCAAGGGGUGCCCGAAUCCACAUGGGUGUCCCAUUGGUCGGCGUGGGCUGUGCCGCGCUAGCGGAUCACCUCCACGCGGCGACUUGGCUGCCCAAGUUCUGGCCGCACCUACCGGAGAAGUAUGACGGUACGUCAAACCCGUCGGAAUUCUUGCAGGUCUACGUCACCGCCAUUACGACAGCCGGUGGAAACACUGUCGUAAUGGCGAGUUACUUCCAUGUAGCCUUGACCGGCCCGGCCCGGAUCUGGCUCAUGAACCUGACCCCGGGAUCCGUCUACUCCUGGGAGGAGCUCUGUGCACGGUUCACAGUGAACUUUGCUAGUGCUUAUCAACAGCAUAGCGUGGAGGCUCAUCUCCAUGCCGUAAGGCAAGAACCCGGGGAGACCCUCCAGGCUUUCAUUGCUCGCUUCACCAAGGUACGAGGGACUAUACCUCGUAUCUCCGAUGCCUCCAUUAUCACUGCUUUCCGACAGGGGGUGCGUGAUGAGAAGAUGUUAGAGAAGCUAGCGACGCAUGACGUGGAAACCGUCACCAUGCUCUUCGCUCUGGCCGACAAAUGUGCUAGAGCUGCCGAGGGUCGUGCAUGGCACUUAGCACCACAGACCGGAGUUACCCAGACGGGUGGCUCGGGAGCCGUCACCCAGGGCAGCAACAACAAGAAGAAGAAAAACCGCGGCCACGAGAGGCCGCAGUCUGCUGCUCCGAUCGUCGCAGCUGCGACUGGGGGCCGGAACGAGCGCGGCAAGCACCCACGACCAUAGGGGGCCAACAGUGGGUCAUGCCCUGUGCAUCCCAACAGUCACCACAGCGCCUCGGAAUGCCGCGAGAUCAUCAAGCUCGCGAAGCGCAUCAGCGAGCGGCGCGAGAAGGCUUCCAAGGAUGGCUCGCCGCCUCGUCGCUGACCUAGCAAGGAGAAGGUCGACGAAGGUGACGCGACCACGGGAGAACGGGACCUCGGGUAUCAGUCACCUGAGGGGGUCCUCAAGGACGUUUUCACUGGAGACUCUGACUCUGGUGACGACAACGACCAUCGCAAGAAGCUGUACGUGAUGUACGGCGGGAGCUAAAAGCUCACCUCUCGCAGGAACGUCAAGUCCCUGCGCCGAGAGGUCCUUUCGGCGGUCCCAAGGGUCCCGAAGGCUGCUCCACAUCAGCGGUGGAGGAGCACCACUAUCUCCUUCGGGGCAUCUGACUACCUCGAAAACAUGGCAGGGGCUGGUAUACUACCGCUCAUCAACGCCCCUGUCAUCGCCAACAUGCGGCUGCGGUGUCUUGUACUCAUCAAGCAUGGUUCUUGCCAUGUCCAAUAGAGUUCGAUUCUUCCUCUCCACUACACCAUUUUGUUGUGGAGUGUAGGGAGAAGAGAACUCAUGCUUGAUGCCCUCCUCCUCAAGGAAGCCUUCUAUUUGUGAGUUCUUGAACUUCGUCCCGUUGUCGCUUCUAAUUUUCUUGAUCCUUAAGCCGAACUCAUUUUGAGCCUAUCUCAAGAAUCCCUUUAAGGUCUCUUGGGUAUGAGAUUUUUCCUGCAAAAAGAACACCCAAGUGAAGCGAGAAUAAUCAUCCACAAUAACUAGACAGUACUUACUCCCGUCGAUGCUUAUGUAAGCGAUCGGGCCGAAUAGGUCCAUGUGUAGGAGCUCCAGUGGCCUGUCACUAGUCAUGAUGUUCUUGUGUGGAUGAUGAGUGCCAACUUGCUUCCCGGCUUGGCAUGCGCUACAAAUCCUGUCUUUCUCAAAAUGAACAUUGGUUAGUCCUAAAAUGUGUUCUCCCUUUAGAAGCUUAUGAAGAUUCUUCAUUCCAACAUGGGCUAGUCGGCGGUGCCAGAGCCAACCCAAGUUAGUCUUAGCAAUUAAGCAAGUGUCGAGUUCAGCUCUAUCAAAAUCUACCAAGUAUAGCUGACCCUCUAACACUCACUUAAAUGCUAUUGAAUCAUCACUUCUUCUAAAGACAGUGACACCUACAUCAGUAAAUAGACAGUUGUAGCCCAUUUGACAAAGUUGCGAAACAGAAAGCAAAUUGUAAUCUAAAGAGUCUACAAGAAAAACAUUGGAAAUAGUAUGGUCAGGUGAUAUAGCAAUUUUACCCAAUCCUUUGACCAAACCUUGAUUUCCAUCCCCGAAUGUGAUAGCUCGUUGGGGAUCUUGGUUUUUCUCAUAUGAGGAGAACAUCUUCUUCUCCCCUGUCAUGUGGUUUGUGCACCCGCUGUCGAGUAUCCAACUUGAGCCCCCGGAUGCAUAAACCUACAAAACAAUUUUAGUUCUUGAUUUUAGGUACCCAAACGGUUUUGGGUCCUUUGGCAUUAGAAACAAGAACUUUGGGUACCCAAACACAAGUUUUGGAGCCCUUGUGUUUGCCCCCAACAAACUUGGCAACUAUCUUGCCGGAUUUGUUAGUUAAAACAUAAGAUGCAUCAAAAGUUUUAAAUGAAAUAGCAUGAUCAUUUGAUGCAUUAGGAGUUUUCUUUCUAGGCAACUUGGCACGGGUUGGUUGCCUAGAGCUAGAUGUCUCACCCUUAUACAUAAAAGCAUGAUUAGGGCCAGAGUGAGACUUCCUAGAAUGAAUUUUCUUAAUUUUGCUCUCGGGAUAACCGGCAGGGUACAAAAUGUAACCCUCGUUAUCCUGAGGCAUGGGAGCCUUGCCCUUAACAAGGUUAGACAAGUUUUUAGGAGGGGCAUUAAGUUUGACAUUGUCUCCCCUUUGGAAGCCAAUGCCAUCCUUGAUGCCAGGGCGUCUCCCAUUAUAGAGCAUACUUCUAGCAAAUUUAAACUUUUCAUUUUCUAAGUUAUGCUCGGCAAUUUUAGCAUCUAAUAUUGCUAUAUGAUCAUUUUGUUGUUUAAUUAAAGCCAUGUGAUCAUGAAUAGCAUUGAUAUCAAUAUCUCUACAUCUAGUACAAAUAGAAGUGUGCUCAACGGUAGAUGUAGAGGGUUUGCAAGAUUUUAAUUCCACAACCUUAGCAUGUAGUAUAUCAUUCUCAUUUCUAAGAUUAGAAAUAGUAACAUUGCAAACAUCAAAAUCUUUAGUCUUAGCAAUUAAUUUUUUAUUUUCAGUCCUAAGGCUAGCAAGGGAAUCAUUCAAUUCCUUAAUCUUAGCAAGCAAAUCAUCAUUAUCAUUUCUAAGAUUGGGAAUUGAAGCAUCACAAACAUGAGAAUCAACCUUAGCAAUUAAUCUAGCAUUUUCAUUUCUAAGGUUGUCUAUAGUCUCAUGGCAAGUGCUUAGCUCACUAGACAAUUUUUCACAUUUUUCAACUUGUAGAGCAUAAGCAUUUUUUACCUUAACAUGCUUUUUGUUUUUCUUAAUAAGGAAGUCCUCUUGAGAGUCCAAGAGAUCAUCCUUCUCAUGAAUAGCACUAAUCAAUUCAUUUAAUUUUUCCUUUUGUUGCAUGUUUAGGUCGGCAAAAAGGGUACGCAAAUUAUUUUCCUCAUCACUAGCAUUAUCAUCACUAGAGGAUUCAUAUUUAGUGGAGGAUUUAGAUUUAACCUUCUUCCUUUUGCCAUCCUUUGCCAUGAGGCACUUAUGGCCGACGUUGGGGAAGAGGAGUCCCUUGGUGACGGCGAUGUUGGCGGCGUCCUCGUCGGAGGAGGACUCGGUGGAGCUCUCGUCGGAGUCCCACUCCCGGCAAACAUGGGCAUCACCGCCCUUCUUCUUGUAGUACUUCUUCUUUUCUUUCCUCUUUCCCUUCUUGUCGUCGCCCCUGUCACUGUCACUAGACAUAGGACAUUUUGCAAUAAAAUGAUCGGGCUUACCACAUUUGUAGCACACUUUCUUGGAGCGGGGUUUGUAGUCCUUCCCCUCCGGUGCUUGAGGAUUUGGCGAAAGCUUUUGAUGAUUAAAGCCAUCUCCUUAUUGUCGAGCUUGGAGGCAUCAAUUGGUUGUCUACUCGGUGUAGACUCCUCCUUCUUCUCCUCCGUCGCCUUGAACGCCACCGGUUGAGCUUCGGACGUGGAGGGUUCGUCAAGCUCAUUGAUCUUCUUUGAGCCUUUAAUCAUACAUUCAAAGCUCACAAAAUUCCUGAUAACUUCCUCGGGAGUCAUUAGUGUGUAUCUAGAAUUACCACGAAUUAAUUGAACUUGAGUGGGGUUAAGGAAAAUAAGAGAUCUUAGAAUAACCUUAACCACCUCGUGGUCGUCCCACUUCUUACUCCCGAGGUUGCGCACUUGGUUCACCAAGGUUUUGAGCCGGUUGUACAUAUCUUGUGGCUCUUCCCCUUGGCGAAGACGAAAGCGACCGAGCUCCCCCUUGAUCGUUUCCCGCUUGGUGAUCUUGGUGAGUUCAUCACCCUCGUGUGCGGUCUUGAGAAGGUCCCAAAUUUCCUUUGCAUUCUUCAACCCUUGCACCUUGUUGUAUUCCUCCUUGCUUAGAGAGGCGAGGAGUAUGGUUGUGGCUUGGGAGUUGAAGUGCUCGAUUUGGGCCACUUCGUCCGUAUCAUAGUCUUCAUCCCCUACGGAUGGUACCUGUGCUCCAAACUCAACAACAUUCCAUAUACUUUUGUGGAGUGAGGUUAGAUGAAAUUUCAUUAAAUCACUCCACCUAGCAUAAUCUUCGCCAUCAAAAGUUGGCGGUUUGCCUAAUGGAACGGAAAGUAAUGGAGUAGGUCUAGAUGUACGAGGGUGUAAGGGGAUCUUACUAAACUUCUUGCGCUCUUGGCGCUUAGAAGUUACGGACGGCGCAUCGGAGUCGGAGGUCGAUGUUGAUGAAGUGUCAGUCUCGUAGUAGACCACCUUCCUCAUCCUCUUGUGCUUGUCGCCUUUCCGAUGCGACUUGUGGGAAGAAGAUUUUUCCUUCUUCUCUUUGUGGUGUGAGGAAGAUCUUUUCUCCUUCUGUUUGGAGGAGUCCUUCUUCUUCUCCUUCCUCUUGGUGCGGGACUCUUCCGAUGAAGUGCUCCCUUGGCUUGUAGUGGGCUUGUCGUCGGUCUCCAUCUCCCUCUUGGUGUGAUCUCCCGACAUCACUUCGAGCGCUUAGGCUCUAAUGAAGCACCGGGCUCUGAUACCAAUUGAAAGUCGCCUAGAGGGGGGUGAAUAGGGCGAAACUGAAAUUCUCAAAAAUAAUCACAACUACAAGCCGGGUUAGCAUUAGAAAUAUAAUCGAGUCCGCGAGAGAGGGUGCAAAACAAAUCGCAAGCGAAUAAGAAGUGUGACACGCGGAUUUGUUUUACCGAGGUUCGGUUCUCGCAAACCUACUCCCCGUUGAGGAGGCCACAAAGGCCGGGUCUCUUUCAACCCUUACCCUCUCUCAAACGGUCCCUCGGAUCGAGUGAGCUUUCUCUUCUCAAUCACUUGGAACACAAAGUUCCCACAAGGACCACCACAAGAUUGGUGUCUCUUGCGUCAAUUACAAGUGAGUUUGAUCGCAAUGAAGAAUCAAAGAAAGAAGAAAGCAAUCCAAGCGCAAGAGCUCGAAAGAACACAAGCAAAUCUCUCUCUCUAAUCACUAGGGCGUUGUGUAGAAUUUGGAGAGGAUUUGAUCUCUUUGGUGUGUCUAGAAUUGAAUACUAGAGCUCUUGUAAGUAGUUGAGAAGUAGAAAACUUGGAUACCAUGAAUGGUGGGUGGUUGGGGGUAUUUAUAGCCCCAACCACCAAACUAGCCGUUUGGUGAGGCUGUCUGUUCGAUGGCGCACCAGACAGUCCGGUGCACACCGGACAUGUCCGGUGCGACAGCCACGUCACCAAUGCCGUUGGGUUCCGACCGUUGGAGCUCUGACUUCUGGGCCCGCCUGGAUGUCUGGUGGCGCACCGGACAUGCACUGUAGAUUGUCCGGUGCGCCAGUAUGGGCGUGCCUGUCCUCUGCGCGCGCAGCGCGCGCAUUUAAUGCGUCGCAGGUAGCCGUUGGCGCCGAAAUAGCCGUUGCCCCGCUGUUACACCGGACAGUCCGGUGUACACCGAACAGUCCGGUGAAUUUUAGCGGAGCAGCUGGAAUGAAUUACCGAGGCUGGCGAGUUCCGGAGGCCGCUCUUCCUUGAAGCACCGGACAUGUCCGGUGUACACCGGACAGUCCGGUGUACACCGGACAGUCCGGUGAAUUAUAGCGGAGUCGCCUCUGGAAUUUCCCGAAGGUGACGAGUUUGAAUUCAGAGUCCUUUGGUGCACCGGACAUGUCCGGUGGCACACCGGACAGCCCGGUGCGCCAGACCAGAGGUGCCUUCGGUUGUUCCUUUGCUCUUUUGUCAAACCCAAUACUUGGUCUUUUUAUUGGCUAAGUGUGAACCUUUGGCACCUGUAUAACUUAUACACUAGAGCAAACUAGUUAGUCCAAAGAUUUGUGUUGGUCAAUUCAACCACCAAAAUUAAUUAGGAACUAGGUGUAAGCCUAAUUCCCUUUCAAAAAGAUCAACAUCAAAUUUUAUACAUAUCUAUUUUAAAAUAUUAAAUUUGUUCUAACAGUUCGGAUUAUCACUUUCAUCCCUAAGGUAUUCUAUGUCCUUAAUCUCGUCUUUAUGGCAAGAAAUACUAAGAUUCCUUUAAACUUGGCGUCAUCUAGAAAACACUAAGAAAACUAACACCUGAACCACUCCCUCUGUCCAAAUUAGUUGUAAGAUAUUUUUUUUGUUGCCAGGAUCCUUAAUUUUCUCUGAAAAUCGCUUGGGUAUUGUAUUUUAGGACGAAUGGAGUAUACAAAUAACAUACAAUCAUGUGGCAGUGAGGAGGAAAACUAAAAACUGGCUAGGAAUUAGGACUAGUACGUGUAGUAAUCGUGUCAUGUGUUUCCGAUGCAUAUAGGUUUCAUAAAAUAAAUUUUAUCCAUGUCAUCUGCUGAAAGUUGAAGCGUUCGUCGUUGUACAGAUGAGAGGCAAACAAGUAUAUAUAUAUAGCCGGCAGCCAGGCAAAAGCUAAGCUAGUAACACACGGUAUGUAAUAAUUAAUUAAGGGAGAGCCAUCUCGAAACAUGCAUAUAUAGAAAUUAUUUUUCCUCAGAUCUCGCCGUCAAGCAUACAUGCAUUAUCUCAGACUUCGCAGUGGCGAGCUCGAUCGAUAUAUAUGAUGACUAGCAUCAGUACUAAAAUAGUAUUGUAUCAGGGACACACGUACGGCAUCGACCAGAGCACCAUGCAUGGUCCAUGGAUCAUAUCAUCAUUAUCAUGGCUUCAUGGGAUGGGAAUGGAUCGGAGUACGUGCUUAACCAUGAUCAGUACACACGUAUCUCUCGGAGGGGCGGCGGUAUCCCGGGUGAUGGCCGGGCGAUUAAUUAGUAGCUGUAGUUCUUGACGAACAUUCCCUCCUUGGCCUCGGCGGCCUCGCCGUCGGAGGUGUACUUGCCGAGCUGCGCCAGGGAGUUGGCCUUGGCGCGCAGCAGCAGCGCGUCCUGCGCCGCCUUGACCUUGUCCGGCUGGCCGCCCCAGGUCUUGAGGCAGGUGUUCUGCAGCGCCCGCGCGUAGGAGAAGGACACGUGCCACGGGUUGGGCCCCUGGUUCAUGGCGUUGAGGUUCUGCGUCGCCUCCACCUCCGACUGCCCGCCGGAGAGGAACAUGAUCCCGGGCACGGAGGGGGGGAUCCGGCGGUGGAGGAGCUUGAGGGUGUACGCGGCCACCUGCUCCGGGGUGGCCCUGUCCUUGGCCUCCGCGCCGGGCGUCACCAUGGACGGCUUCAGCAGGAUGCCCUCGAACAUGACGUUGUUCUCCGCCAUGGCGUAGAAGGUUUCGGCCCACACCUUCUGCGCCACCUCGAACGUGCGCUCGAUGCCGUGCUCGCCGUCCAGCAGGAUCUCCGGCUCCACGAUCGGCACAAGCCCGUUGUCCUGCAUGCAUGAAGGUCAUGGCAUGCAGGUUGCAGCCAAUAAUAAUGGCAGGAGUAGAAACCAAAUAAACCAACCAACCUGUGAGAUGGCGGCGUAGCGUGCGAGCCCCCACGCGGCCUCCUUGACGGCGAGCUCGGAGGGGCCGUUAGGGAUGCUGACGACGGUGCGCCACUUGGCGAACCGCGCGCCCUGCUGGUAGUAGGCGGCCUCGCGGGACGCCAGGCCGUCCAGGCCCUGGCACCACGACUCGUUGUUGGAGCCGGCGAGCGGGACAAGGCCCUUGUCCACCUUGAUCCCCGGCACGAUGCCCUGCUCCGCCAGGAUGUCCACGAUCUUGCGGCCGUCGACGGCGGACUGGUACAGCGUCUCCUCGAAGAGGAUGGCGCCGGAGAUGUACUGGCCCAGGCCCGGCGCCGUGACCAGCAGCGUGCGGUACGCCUGCCGGUUGGCCUCCGUGUUCUCCAGCCCGAUGGACGCCAGCCGCUUCCCGCACGUCGCGUUCGACUCGUCCAUCGCCAGGAUGCCCCGCCCCGGCGACGCGAUCGUUUUCUGUCCACACAUACGUACGUACGUACGUAUACACAGCAUGCACACACGCACACUUGAGUUCGACAGCCGGAGGAGGAAGAUGAAGAGAUUAACCUAAGUACGAUCGAUGGAGCGUAUAGUACGUACCGCGGUCUUCACGAGCUCAUCGGCGUAGGCGGAGGCGCGGACGACCAUGGAGACGGUGGGCGGCCUGGGCGCGGCGGCCUGCCUGGUGGCGCCCCAUUCGGACUUCUUGGGAAGGAAGGAGGACUUGAGCACGGUGGCAGAGGCCAUCGAUCUCUUGUUGCUGUCACUCCUAAACUUGUGAAGAAGACUUGUGGUAUGGCGGUAUCCUAGCUAGCGAGGAUCGGAGCUCAGCUAGCUCGAUCACUCACUCACACUCAGGCUACCAGCCAGUGACACCGCAAGUUUCAGGUUCACUUGACACUCGUCUUCUUCUCCUUCCUUACCUUAGAGGGUGAGAGCAUCUCCCAUAUAUAAACAAGGAGGAGGCCUGCAGCACACCUGGCUAACCACGGCGCGCAACAGCACAAGGGGAUAUGAGUUGUGAGGCCGAGGUUGCCCUCUGGAUUUCAGUGGCUGACGCGUCUUGCUGCCUGCCUCUCACUGCCUAGCUUGGCUCCAAUCCAAUCCUGUUGCUGUCACCAAUCACAAGCUUUUCUUUUGUCCUGAUCUUCUUCAUGCUGGGGCUGCUGGCACACCACCAUCUUUUCUGUAAUUUCCGUCCUGUUUCACCUCUGCGACUCUGCAUUGUAUGGUUAAAACAAAAAGGGUUAAAGCUGCAACCAACGACGGGCCCUGCUGCGUGCAGCUCUGCCAUGGGGAGUUGCUCGCCUAGAAAAGGGGUCGCCGGGACGGACAGGGACCUGCAGCAGGUUCUGUGGACGCACCUCGCCAGCCACUGCCGCCCGCCUGCGGUGGGUGAUCUCUGAUCUCCCAUCCGUGGAUCGGUUCGCACGCUCGGCUUGGCAACGGCGGCCGUAGUUUUUUUUUCUUUUCCUCGGCGGGUCUCUUGGGGGCUUGUGGCGAUGGCAACGCCCCUGCUAGCUGCUGCGACUUGUUUGUUUGCCGUGUGCUUCGUCAGGUCUCAGGCACCGACACCAGGCUGCUGCUCUGGCUCAACUAAAGAACAAGAACGGGCAUUCAGGACAGUCCAAGAAACCAUGUUGCAGUCCUGCCUGCAGAUCAUCUUGUGCCACGACAAAUGAUACAGUGACCUUCGUAUACGGAAGAGGACGAACUGUUCCUAUCUUUCAUUUGGUUUACAUUACAUCCAAGAAAUCACAUACAACUGUGCUGUCAACAAGACUACAAGAGUAAAUAUCUCUGCAGACUGCAGGAACACCUGGAGCACAUCACUGGUUUAAGCACGCCAUCAAUGCAUCUUCUGAUGUUCUUUCACCACAUCUAAGCAAUGCGAAACAUACACAGCAAAGGCCGAAGACAUACACGUACUUUGUCACGUGAACGCAAGCAGGCAAGGAUGAAGACAAAUGAUGAGUUUUGACAAAUUAUCAAUCAGAAAUAGGUUCAUAGGAACAUGUUUACAAAUCUGUCGAUGCUUCAAACACAGACCUAGGUGCCUACCUUAUGGGGCACCAGCACAUUUUUACACUGACAACAAAAAUCAGUAAUGGUACAAACCUGAAAUCAUCAACAACAAUCGUGACAAGACAACGGGACUCCGUAGUAGCAUAACAUGUCAGCUUCAGCACCUAGGAUUUGUCACUGGGUGCCACAGAAUGCUCUUUCCACUAAAUACUAGUACCACUGAAAAAAAAAUAACCGCUUUUUUCGUGGCACUGGUACUGGGAUCAAGUCUAAUCAAUCCGUGAAAGCUGACGAUGCACGCUAAACUUCAGAUGGGAGCAUCUGGAAAGCAGAAUCCUCUGGUAAAAAAACUAGGUCUCGGCAGGCUUCAAGAGUUCACCAAGAUUCACAUGCAAGCUGUUCCUCAUGGUUCGCCUCCCUGCUCCACCAGUGUUGCCCUUUCUCAUCAUGGCAGCAAAUUCACUAUAAUCAAUCUGUCCAUCCUGGAAAACCAUGUACAAUUUGACAGCACCCAAUUAGAUGAAGAUGAGACAACAGAGAAGUACAGAGAUGGAGACGAAAAAACAAGAAGGAUGAAGAUGACUAACAUUGUUCUGGUCCACAUCUUUGAUCAUGUCCUCAAGAUGAACAUCAGAAAGGCCGAACUGUCCGCAUGCUUGCGAGAGCUCAUCGAUUGUUAUGAAGCCACUCCCAUCCUUAUCGAAGAAUGCGAAUGCCGACACCAAGCUUUCCUCCCUCUCCAGUUUAUUCAUGUGCAACGUAGCCGCUAAGAACUCUCCAUAGUCAAUGGUUCCGCUGUUGUCAAUAUCAGCCUGAUACAGAGGCCAAGCCCAGAUUACAAUCUCAACGAUUUGCAGAAUCGAAGGAUGAUCCAGUACCAGUACAACUAAUUCAUAUGGACAAUACAACACUUGAUAUAAUAGUAGCACUUACUGCAUCCAUUAAAGCCUGGAUUUCAGGUUCCAUCAGAUCUGAGCCCACCUUUUUCAGACCAUCCUUCAGUUCAUCAUAAGUUAUCGUCCCACUGUUGUCAGUAUCGAUCAUUUUGAACAUCUCCUUUAAACCACCAAUCUCCUCCUCAGAUAGACUUUCAGCAAUCACCUGCACGAAUCAAAGACAUGCCUCUGAAAAAAUCAAUUUCCAUGGUCAAUGCAUGUUGCACACAUGCCAUCGUUUCUUAUCAUUUAUCAAGCAUUUUUGCAACCUCAUGACAUGCUUUUUAUAAUUUUAUGUGAGAAACUAGUCAACCUAGAGUUCAAGCAAACAACAUUGCAUAACCCAUAGUGGAAACCUGAGCAUUACUUGCUCUAGUAUUGUGUCAGACAAUUAAGCAAACGCAAAAAAAAAAAAUCUCUUCUCUUCAAAGAAAGAAGAAAAGGAUAACACAUCCUUCUGAACCUCUAUCUUCAAAGCAUUCUUCAAACCACUGUUUUGAAAGUUACCAUUGCUACUAUUUAUGGCAUCCUGCUGCUACCGUUAGGUGGUCUUCAAUCAUGGAUUCAAUAGCUUUUGCUGAUCAGUAGUCAUAGAGUACUGUGGCUGGCAUCCAGAUUCCAGAUCUGGCCGUAGUGCAUCUGAAGGGAUUGGAGACAGCAGGGUUGGGUAUGGGAGGACUGUUCUUUUGGAAAGAAAAAGGUUUCUUGAAUUAUGAAAAGGAGGUGUAGGUGACAUGCAGGAUAGCCUUUUGUUAAUAGUAGGACAUGGAUGAUUAGUGUGGCAGAACUGCCAUACAAAACAACAAUAUGAGGUUAAAUAGCCUGGCUUCCAAAGUUUUGGUUUUUAAGCAGAUGUGUAUAAACUGGCUUCUCUGGAAAAAUAAUGGGGAGUAAUAUGAAUAUAGAAUGAAAGUUAAGUUCACAAAAAACCUAGUUGACAUGGAAAACAAGGGGAAAGAGAAAGGAGAAGUUACAUACAAAGUUAAUACAAGACUAGUAAUAGUUUGUAUGGGAAUGGCAUAAUAGAAAUGAAGCAUAUACCUAGCAUCGCCACUAAAAAAAAUUAAAUCUCAUUUGCAACAUAAUUACGUAUGAAAAAUGGGAUAAAAAGAUCAUACCCUCAAUGCCAUCUUCUUGAGCUUGUUCAUUGCAGAAAAGUUUUUCAGCCUUGACAAAACAGCAGAAUCAAUAGGCUUAUCAGGUGCAACAGCAUCAUCAACAAUCCAUGGAUGGCCUGGCAUAAUGAGUGUCAAUAAAAAUGGUACAGGAGCGCAAGCAUGAAUAUGAAAUCUAAGACAGAGAGGGAGGGAAGCCAUGAAGGCAGAAAACUUACAUAGAACCUCAUGAGCAGUCAAUCUCUUCCUAGGAUCCCGGAUUAGCAUCUUACGGACUAGAUCCUUAGCACUAUCAGAGAUACUUGGCCAUGGUUCAGAUUCCAAAUCAAGUUUUCCUCGCAAAAUCUGCCUGAAUAUCCCUGCUUCACUCUCUGAAGGGAGGGGGGGAAAUAGGGAAAAAGGUACACAUGUAAACAUGCCAACAAUGGUAAACAGAAAUGGAUCUCAACCUAGCAAUUCAUUGGGUGGAAUAAUAAACAGCUUACCUGCCCAGAAUGGGGGUACACCACAUAGCAAAAUGUACAAAAUCACUCCAGCACUCCAUACAUCAGCUUCUGGGCCAUAACAUUUUUGAAGCACCUCAGGGGCAACAUAAUAGGGGCUCCCAACAACGUCAGCAAAUUUAUCACCUAGAGAAUGGAAAGGUAUAGCUUUCAGUGUGUGUUUUAUUAAUAACUUAAGCAAGCAGAAGAGAACACUGAAUCGACUGAAGACUUCAUUAAUCACUAUGCAGUACGUUAAUAACAGCUGACAUUUAACACAAAGUGUAUUAAAUGUGUACAAGAAAAGGCAGUUCUUGCCAUCAACCUUGAAAACCUUAUUACUAUUAACGAGGAUUAAGUAAUAGAUGUUAUUAUAGUUUCAAUGUCUGUGAUAGAUUUUUUUUAUGCUAGCAAAAUGAGAUGCUAUGCAAAUGACACUAAUACUUAAUAGGUUUUCUGAUGUACCAAAACAACUAAUAAGAACACUACCCCUUACCAAACGCAAUGCUAGCCGUUUGCCCCACAUAUCACUACGGCAUGAGGGACCACAUCCGCAUAGCAACAUUAUACAGCACAAAAAUUCAAACCAAACAGCACAAACAUCGCAUAGUUACGCACCAGGCUUGUAGAACACGGAGAGCCCAAAAUCAGUGGUCUUGAGCGGGGCAUCCUCGGCAGUGCUCGCGAAGAGGAAAUUCUCCGGCUUGAGGUCUCGAUGCAUGACGCCGAGCGAGUGGCACCCCUGCACCACCCCAACAAUCGUCCUGGUGAGCUGCGCGGCGGCGCGCUCUGUGUAGUGGCCCUUGGCGACGAUGCGGUCGAAGAGCUCGCCGCCGGCGCAGAGCUCCAUGACGAGGUGGACGAAGAGCGCGUCCUCGUAGGCGCCGCGGAUGCGGACGACGUUGGGGUGCUCGGAGAGAUGGUGCAUGAUCUGGAUCUCGCGCCACACGUCCUCGUAGUCCUCGCGGCACAGCAGCUUGCGCUUGGGGAUGGACUUGCACGCGUACUCGGCGCCGUCCGCCUUGCCCACGCACUGGUACGUGGUGCCGAACUGCCCCUGCCCCAGCUUCUUCCCGAUGCGGUAGUGGUCGCGCACGUUGUCCGUCUUAUGCGGCAGCACCGACGCCGGCCGCCCAGCCGACGCCGCCGUCACCGGCGGCGGCAGCCGCGCGUGCGCAUUGGCGCCGCCCGCCUUCCCCCUGCCCGAACCUUGCGGGUCCGGCUGCAUUGCCUUCGGCGGCGGUCCCUCACCGGAUCAAGAACCGUAACCGAACGGGCGUCCUGCCUUUCUUCGGCAAAACGUGGCCAGGCUCGACAACCAAUCAGAAAUGGAAACCUUUUACAACUCCGGGGGCGGUUCUAUGUUACUUUCCGGAUGAAUUUACACCGAUUGAAACCGAACAACUGAAAAGAUCGGAUCUCAGCGCGGGGAACCCUCGCCAAUGGGGAAUCUGGGAAAUGGCUGCCGAAUUGGGCGCGACAAAGGAGCUUUAGCGGAGGUUUAAAUAGGCCUACGCGUGCCGAGGAACGGAGAAGAGAACCAACGGCAAGGCGAAAACACUAAGCAAUGGGGUUGCUCUGUUUUUCUGUUCCCUUUUGGAUUGAUUGAUCGAUUCUUGUGGCGAUUUAAAAAGAGGUCACAUGCGAAGAUUGGAUUUUUCCUCCAUGCGAGGAUGGAAGUCUCAUCGGCCAGGUUUGGUGGUUGCUUGGGGCUUGGAUUGGGUCUGCAAAUGGGAACAUCGCUAGGGCAUGUCGGUGGUUAUCGUCUUCGCCUCCUUGGCGAGAGGCGGAGAGCGGGAAGGGGAAGAAGACAGGACACAGGAGGAACCAAGGAAGACAACGUGGUCGGAAACUUCCCUGCUCUUUCUCUUUCCAAUAAUUUUCAAUAAAAAUUCCGUCAAUAAUCCAAACUAGCCCUAAAUAUUAUGUUUAGAAAGCCGGUAAACAGAUAUUGAGAGUAAAAAAAACCUUUACUUUCCAAUUGUCCCCUGUUGUUAGGUUGCUAACCCGUAUUAAAUAAUAUUAGAUCACUUUUUUCAAAUGAGUGAGAACAUAAACAAAUCCUUUCCGGUGUAGAUGUACACUUGAAAAUCAUGAUGCAACAAAGCAACUCGUAGAAGUACACAGGGAUCCAAACAAAAAAAAAUAUUUGUAACCUCUUCUAGCUUAGGUUAGAACAGCGAGAGAUUGAGGUUAGGUGGCUGUUCUUUUUUUUAAUUUAUUCUAAUGAUAAAAAAGGCACGAAAUAAAGAGUGGCGUGCAGGUUGUGUCGACGAUAAAAUUGGCGGGCGGAUAGAUUUAGAGACUCUCAUCUGUUGUUCUAUUUUAGGAGAAAAUAUGUUUAGAUAGAAACUUUGUAAACAAAUAUGGUUUAAAAAAUAAAAUAUAGUUUAACGUCAUCAGUUAUCCAUUACGUUACAACUAUGUGAACGAUAUCUAAGAUAAAAUGGCUUAGGAAUGGCUUUAUAGUUCUUUAUUAUCCCUUUAAUCUAAGUCUUUAUAAAGACUAACUUUAAAACUAUUCAUCCAUUUGCCUCACUGUUUAAUUAGGAUAUUAGUGUUCUUACUCUUGCUUUAAUACUAAUCAUGAUUUUACUCUUGUUUUUUUAUUUUACCAUGAUUUUUUAUAAUUUGUAGCACUGUUUGCCCUAGUUUCACAACCCAAUUAGCUAAAAGCAAAUCUCCAUUACUUAUUAAGGGCCUGUUUGUUUACCCCCCAGAUUAUAUAAUCUAGAUUAAAUAAUCCUAAGAGGCAAACAAACAGUUCAGUUUAUUUGCCCAGAUUAUAUAAUCUAACCCCUUGGAUUAUGAUAAUCCAUAAGCAAGUGAGGAGGUGCUUAUUUCAGAUUAUUUUUUUCCCACUUCCCCACUACCCUUUCAAGUUUCCUAGAAAUUACUCACCAUUGCCGUUAUAAUCCACCGAAUCGGUUUUGCGCCUAGUACUAGUCAAUUUGGGGAUGAAGAAGGUGACAUGAAUGCCUUCCGUGAUAAUAUUGCUAAUGCAAUAUUUGCCAAUUUCAAUUGAAUUUUUUUUCAUACAUGAGUUUCAACCUAGUACAAAUAUAGAGGGCAUUCUUGUCUUCCUCAUACAAAAGAAUCAUAUUAACAACUCAAAUAAUCUAGGUAAACAAACAGGACUACUCAGAUUAUAUAAUCCGGAUUAUAUAAUCCAGAUUAUAUAAUCCGGAUUAUAUAAUCCAGAUUAUAUAAUCCUCCAAAAAUAAUCCAGAUUAUAUAAUCCAUGGGGGUAAACAAACAGGCCCUAAGACAGUAAGGGGUAGGCUGACAUUUUGUGUUCUGUCAUUCUCAUUCCCUCGUCUUUCUCAUCCCUCCUGUUUUGUCAUUCCCUCCUCCCGCACUGUUUUUCUUAUUCCCCAUCCCCGCAAAGCUCAUUCUCAUUCCCACGUGCAUCACAUGCCUAGCUAAAAUUAAAUUAAAAAAACAUAAAUGUGGCCCCAAUGGGAUUCGAACGUGUGACCCCUCAAGCAAAUAUGCUUGUAGCUACCACUACACCACAUGUGUAUUUAUGUCAAUAUAUAUUACAGUAAAAUAUCUACUACAUCUCUCCCAAAGCCUACCUGCUACCCUUGCAAAAUGUGUAGUAGUAGAUAAUUAUCAACGAGAUUCCUGAAUUAUAUUUUUGUAUGGAGGGAGUAGUAUUUAAAAAAGAGCCUUGCAUGCAAUUCCUUUUAUUUGAAUAUUGUUUUCAACUUAAAUUCCUUUUUUAUAUGUAUGACAUUUAUUCUUCGUAAUAUAUUUUCCAUGGAUCUGACUUGUGAGUCAUUUUCAUAAACCAACGCCAAAGAUGAAUCCAUUUUUCUUACUUGGAAACCCCGAACAAACAUCACUAGCAGGAGGCGCUCGCGUUGGCGUCGCUCAUCGACGACGAGAAGAAGCUUGGCGACUGCCAGUUCGACCUCUGGAAGCAGUCCUACGUGGUCGCAUGCGCCGCUGUGUUCGGCAAGCUCUGGCGCAACUGCUGCUUGGACGUGGUCCAGAGCGGCUGCACCGCGUUGUCCAUCUUCAAACAGGGGGACCUCAUGGUCGUCGCCAAUGCCCGCGACUCUCGGGUUGUUCUGGGCACCACAUCCGACGACAGCGCCAUCACGUCGUCCAACUCAUCAUCCACCCGAAGCUCAACCUGCCACGUAAGUCGUUACUGACCGGCCAUGAAUUCUUGUGCGCUGGAACGAUGACUAUUGCUGACGUUAUGUGAGUGUCCUCGAACAAGAUGUGAAAGGGAAAUAGGGUCAAACUUUUUCCUGAUUGAUUUUGGUGGUUGAAUUGCCCAACACAAAUAAUUGGACUAACUAGUUUGCGCUAGAUUAUAAGUUCUACAGGUACAAAAUGUUCAACACAAACCAAUAAAAAAGUCCAAGAAAGGGUUCAAAAGAAAGGAGCAAAAGAAAACCGAAUGCUGCCCUGGUCUGGCGCACCGGACUGUCUGGUGUGCCACCGGACAGUGUCCGGUGCACCAGGGAGAUCAACUCCGAACUUGCCACCUUCGGGUUUCUGGAAAUGUCACUCCGCUAUAAUUCACCGAACUGUCCCGUGUAGCACCAAACUGUCCGGUGUGCCAUGCGGAGCAACGGCUACAGCGCCGACGGUCGACUGUAAAAGUGUACAGUAACAGUGAACAGUGCGGACUGCGCGCACAGAAGUCAGAGCAGCGCCAGAAGGCGCACCGGACAGUGAACAGUGACUGUCUGAUGCACCACCGGACUGUCCGGUGGCCCCACUUGUCAGAGCUCCAACGGUCGAACCCUAACAGUUGGGUGACGUGGCUGGCGCACCGGACAGUGUCCAGUGGCGCACCAGACUGUCUGGUGCGCUCGUCGACAGACAGCCUCCCUAACGGCCAUUUUGGUGGUUGGGGCUAUAAAUACCCCCCAACCACCACACUUCAAGGCAUCCAAGUUUUCAGCCAACAUAUUCAAUACAAGAGCUAGUACAUUCAAUAUAAGACACAAUUAGAUUGAAUCAAAGCCUCUCCAAGUCCCAAUUCCAAUCAAAGCAAUUAGUGACUAGAAGAGAGAGUUUUGGCCGUGUUCUUUGAGCUCUUGCGCUUGGAUCGCUUUUCUUCUUCUCCAUUUCUUGUUCGCGAGUCAUUUGUAAUCAAGGCAAGAGACACCAAUUCUGUGGUGGUCCUUGUGGGGACUAAGUGUCCCAUUUGAUUGAGGAGAAAAGCUCACUCGGUCUAAGUGACCGUUUGAGAGAGGGAAAGGGUUGAAAGAGACCCGGUCUUUGUGACCACCUCAACGGGGAGUAGGUUUGCAAGAACCGAACCUUGGUAAAACAAAUCACCUUGUCAUCCGCUUUCAUUUGCUUAUGACUUGUUUUCGCCCUCUCUUUCGGACUCGAUUAUAUUUCUAACGCUAACUCCGGCUUGUAGUUGUGCUUAAAGUUUAUAAAUUUCAGAUUUGCCUAUUCACCCCCCCCCCCUCUAGGUGACUUUCAAUUGGUAUCAGAGCCCGAUACUUCAUUAGAGCCUAACCGCUCCAAGUGAUGUCGGGAGCUCACGCCAAGAAGGAGAUGGUGACCGGCGAGAAGCCCGCUACAAGCCACGGGAAAGCUCCAUCGGGAGAGUCCAUCAACAAGUUGAAGGGAUCCCCUUCACACAACAAGCCACAACGAAGCGGCGAAAAGAAAAAGAAGAUGAAGAAAGUGGUCUACUAUGAGAUCGACUCUUCGUCGCCAUCCACCUCCGGCUCUGACACGCCGUCCGUCACUUCCAAGCGCCAUGAGCGCAAGAAGUUUAGUAAGAUCCCCCUACGCUACCCUCGCAUUUCUAAGCACACUCCUUUACUUUCCGUUCCAUUAGGCAAACCACCAGUUUUUUAUGGUGAAGAUUAUAGUAGGUGGAGUGAUAUGACGAAAUAUCACCUAACCUCACUCCACACAAGCAUAUGGGACGUUGUUGAAGUUGGAGCACAGGUACCAUCCGUAGGGGAUGAAGAUUAUGAUGAGGACGAAGUCACCCAAAUCCGGCACUUCAAUUCCCUAGCAACUACUAUACUCCUCACCUCUAUAAGUCGAGAGGAGUAUAAUAAGGUACAAGGGUUGAAGAGUGCCAAAGAGGUUUGGGACGUACUAAAGACCACGCACGAAGGAGACGAGGUGACCAAGAUCACCAAAAGGGAAACGAUCGAGGGGGAGCUCAGUCGGUUCAUGCUCAAUCAAGGAGAGGAGCCACAAGCUAUGUAUAACCAGCUCAAGAUCUUGGUCAACCAAGUGCGCAACCUCGGGAGCACAAAAUGGGAUGACCAUGAAAUGGUCAAGGUUAUUCUUAGAUCACUCGUUUUUCUUAAUCCUACUCAAGUACAAUUAAUUCGUGGUGAUUCUAGAUAUAAACUAAUGUCUCCCGAGGAAGUAAUAGGAAAGUUUGUGAGAUUUGAAUUGAUGAUCAAAGGCUCCAAACAAAUCAUCGAGCGAGGCGCCACCUCCACACCUGAGGUGCAACCCGUUGCAUUCAAAGCAACGGAGGAGAAGAAAGAAGAGUCUACGCCAAGUAGGCUCCCUAUCGAUGCCUCCAAGCUCGACAACAAGGAGAUGGCGCUCAUCAUCAAGAGCUUCCUCCAAAUCCUCAAGCAAAGGAGGG
rnacentral:lncRNA from 1 species